AAUUAAUUUUCUUAAUAUAAAGAUUUUUUUCUAUUACAUAAAUGGAAUAAAAAGAUUUUAAGAAAAAUUUAUUCUUUUUGUAUAACGGGUUAACUAGAAAAAAUUUUAAAUAAAAAUUCCCGAAAAUAGAAGAUCUAAACUACUUUUUGUUUUAGAAAAUAAGUGUAAUGUGGAAUUAUUACAUAAAAAAAAUAGUUUAGGGGUGAAAAACCUACAAUUCUACUAAUAUCUGGAUUAAAGAUUUAAGUACUCAGUACUAAAGACACUUAUGAAGUUUUAAGACUUUAUAAUAACAGAAUUUCUAAUAAUUAAUUUCAAACCAGUACUAAUAAUUCUAGUUUUAUAUUAUUGUUAAAAAUUUCUCUUUUAUAAAAUCUGUUUUUUCUCUUUACACUAACUUAAAUUACUUAUUUAGUAGAUAAUGUUAUCAUUAGUAAUAAAUUUUUAAUUAAAUAAAACAUAAAGAAGGAACUCGGCAAACUUGUGCCUUAACUGUUUACCAAAAACAUAGUCUUAAGAAAUCAUUUAAGAUAAUGCCUGCCCAGUGCUGAUAGUAAACGGCCGCAGUACCUUGACUGUGCUAAGGUAGCAUAAUCAGUUGGCUUUUAAAUGGAGUCGGGAAUGAAUGGACUUAUGGGGCACUGCUGUCUCUUAUAUGUUCUAUUAAACUUACUGAUUAGGUGAAAAUACCUAAAAUUAGAAAAAAGACGAGAAGACCCUAGGAGUUUUAACAAAUUUUUAAAUAAUUUAAUUACUGUUUUUGUUGGGGCGACAAAGGAUUAGAUAUAUAACUUCCUUUAAUUAAUCUGCCGACUGUGUAUGUAAAAUUAAACUACCCUAGGGAUAACAGCGUAAUUCUUUAAGAGCUUGCGACCUCGAUGUUGGACUAGGAAUUCGUUUGGCUAGCCGCCAAUUUGUAUUGUUCUGUUCGAACUUAAUUUCCUACAUGAUCUGAGUUCAGACCGGCGUAAGCCAGGUCAGAUUCUAUCUUUUUAAUAUUAUUUUUAGUACGAAAGGAAUUAAAUAAUUUACUUUGU
rnacentral:rRNA from 1 species